GGGUUUGGCAGCAGCUAUAAAGGAAGGUGGAAUUUUCAACUCCGAACAGAACAAUCUGAGGUAUUAUGAAGGGGGGAUUUCAUCAGUAUACAUGUGGGAAGAUAAUGAAGACUUUGUGGCUUGCUACCUAAUAACGAAAGAUUGCUCAAAGUCAGGGCAUGGCUGAAGAAGUUAUUUGCAAGAAGGUGCAUGGGAUGCUAUUCAUGUUAUUGAA